UACGUAGGUGGCAAGCGUUGUCCGGAAUUAUUGGGCGUAAAGCGCGCGCAGGCGGUCCUUUAAGUCUGAUGUGAAAGCCCACGGCUCAACCGUGGAGGGUCAUUGGAAACUGGGGGGACUUGAGUGCAGGAGAGAAGAGUGGAAUUCCACGUGUAGCGGUGAAAUGCGUAGAGAUGUGGAGGAACACCAGUGGCGAAGGCGACUUCCUGGCCUGUUCUUGACGCUGAGGCGCGAAAGCUAGGGGAGCAAACGGG
rnacentral:rRNA from 1 species